AUAAGCAAGAAUUUAAUUUUGGUUCCGAUUGAACGUUUUUCAGUAGUUUAAGACAUGCAAAUCGUUGUUUUCAACAUAUUAUUUAAAGUAAUAUUAGAAAAUAAGGUGUAGAGGUGAGUAUGUUAAAUAAGAUACCCUAUAGUCUUCAUAAAUAGGAGAUAUAUAAAUAAAGGAGAUACUUCUGCUAUAGGAUUCUAUUUAAUUUGAUUAGGUAGUUGGUGGGGUAAAGGCCUACCAAGCCGACGAUCGAAAGUCAAGUUUGAAAGAACCUCUGGCCACAUUGGGAAUGAAAUCUCCCAAGUAGUAUAACACUACCAGCAGUCAAGAAUAUUAGUCAAUGCUCGCAAGAGUGAACUAGCUAACUGAAAUCAUAGAGUUUCUUCAAACUCAUGAUGUCGUAAGGGAAAAUAAUGAUAAUACCUUACUAAUAGUGUCGUCCAAAUCUGGUGCCAGAAGACUCGGUAAGACCAGAGACGCAAACGUUAAUCAUCAUAAACAGGCGUAAAGGGUUUGUAGGCGGUUUCCAUAAGACUAUGAAUAAACAAAUAAAGUAGUCUAAUUGGAAGCUAGAAUCAAAAAGAGGUUAUAGUGUAUAACGCUUAGAGGAGGGCUGAUAUCUUUAGAUCCUAAGCAGAAUACUAAGGGCGAAGGCCACUUUCCAUUAAUGAUUGACGCUGAGAAACGAAGGUUAGGGUAAGAAAUAGGAUUAGAUACCCCGGUACUCCUUUCUGUAAACGAUGAAUGGUAGUCAUUAGUUUAAGUUAAACUAGAGGCGAAGUUAACACGAUAACCAUUCCGCCUUGUGAGUACUACUGCAAAGUAGAAAACAAAAAAAUUAGUCGGUCUCGAAGCAAACGGAGUGAAGCAUGUUAUUUAAUACGAUAAUCCGCGUAAAACCUUACCAGAACUUGUAUACAAACUUUUUUAAGGAGUGUUUUAAACUUUUAAAAUACUUAAGUACAGGUGUUGCAUGGCUGUCUUCAGUUCGUGUUGUUAAACAUUAGGUUAAUUCCACUAACGAACGAAAUCCCUGUUAUUAAUUUAUUCUUAAUAACUAAUGAAUCUGAUAGAGAUUCAGCGGGGGCUAAGACAAGUCGUUAUGGCCCUCAUGUUCUGGGCUAUAGACGUGCCACAAAUACUUUUACAAAGUGACGCAAUACUUCCACCAAGAAGUGGAGCUAAUCAUUAAAAAAAGUAAUUAAUAUUAAUAUUAGACGGAUUGUCUCCUGAAAUUCGGAGGCAUGAAGAAGGAAUUUCGAGUAAUCGUUGAUAAGUAGCGCAACGGUGAAGCUAAUUUCGUGAUGAACUAACUGUCUGUCGCUGGGAAGAAGCCUUUAGUGGAGGAAACUGGAGGUAGAUAAGUUUUUUCCUAGUUUAGUUUACGACUAAAGUUUUUUUAGCCUUUUAAAACAGCUAGGUUAAGCUUAUUGGCUUUAGUUAAUUCAUUGAGGUAACAUCUCAAAAGUCAUAGCAAGGUAGCUGUACUGGAAAGUGCAGCUGUAAAAUAAUUAAU
rfam:Trametes pubescens strain FBCC735 TRAPTBscaffold_1672, whole genome shotgun sequence.